UGCUGACUGGUCUUAGCUACUUCCUGC
rnacentral:piRNA from 1 species